AUUGAACGCUGGCGGCAUGCUUUACACAUGCAAGUCGAACGGUAACAGGCCUUCGGGCGCUGACGAGUGGCGAACGGGUGAGUAAUGCAUCGGAACGUGCCCAGUCGUGGGGGAUAACGCAGCGAAAGCUGUGCUAAUACCGCAUACGAUCUGCGGAUGAAAGCGGGGGACCUUCGGGCCUCGCGCGAUCGGCGCGGCCGAUGUCAGAUUAGGUAGUUGGUGGGGUAAAGGCUCACCAAGCCAACGAUCUGGAGCUGGUCUGAGAGGACGACCAGCCACACUGGGACUGAGACGCGGCCCAGACUCCUACGGGAGGCAGCAGUGGGGAAUUUUGGACAAUGGGCGCAAGCCUGAUCCAGCAAUGCCGCGUGCAGGAAGAAGGCCUUCGGGUUGUAAACCGCUUUUGUACGGAGCGAAAAGGCUCCCUCUAAUACAGGGGGCUCAUGACGGUACCGUAAGAAUAAGCACCGGCUAACUACGUGCCAGCCGCCGCGGUAACAC
rnacentral:rRNA from 1 species